rnacentral:rRNA from 1 species
CCUACGGGUGGCAGCAGUGGGGAAUAUUGCACAAUGGGCGCAAGCCUGAUGCAGCCAUGCCGCGUGUGUGAAGAAGGCCUUCGGGUUGUAGCACUUUCAGCGGGGAGGAAGGCGGUGAGGUUAAUAACCUCAUCGAUUGACGUUACCCGCAGAAGAAGCACCGGCUAACUCCGUGCCAGCAGCCGCGGUAAUACGGAGGGUGCAAGCGUUAAUCGGAAUUACUGGGCGUAAAGCGCACGCAGGCGGUCUGUCAAGUCGGAUGUGAAAUCCCCGGGCUCAACCUGGGAACUGCAUUCGAAACUGGCAGGCUAGAGUCUUGUAGAGGGGGGUAGAAUUCCAGGUGUAGCGGUGAAAUGCGUAGAGAUCUGGAGGAAUACCGGUGGCGAAGGCGGCCCCCUGGACAAAGACUGACGCUCAGGUGCGAAAGCGUGGGGAGCAAACAGGAUUAGAUACCCCGGUAGUC